AUGAAAUGAAUCUGAUGCUGACCUGGGGGCCUUGCAUGAAGAGGUAGAGAGUGUAAUUCAGCCAAGGAUGACUUGCCGGAAGCACUGAUUAUACGGUCCGGCAAGUUGUUCCUUGGCUACACUAUACUCUUUUCUUCUCAUGUAAGGCCUACCCAGGUACUACGUACUGAUGAACCUCACACCAGAUUACCAGGCUAUGCAGCCACUUCGAUUACAUGUGAACUGAGGAUAAGGGGCAAGUAAUCAUCUAAAUUUGGGUUAUACAUAAACCUGCAGCUGGUACGUUUCAUUAACAUUUUCUGCUUGGUUUAAGUGUUCCAUUUUUUCUAUUCCGAAUUCAAGAAAGAAUUAAUUGUACAUAUUGAAAUAAGUAAAUAAAUAUAUGUGGAAUAAAAAUCUUAUUUUUCUUGUGCUUAAUUUGUUUACCUUAACUGAAAAUACAUGCUACUUAAUUCUAUUGAUGAUUCUGAUGAUAAUAUGUUAAAAUUUUCUAUGGAAAUUGUAGGGUAGGUCUGAUUUUUAAGUAAAAAUAAAUGACAGAGGAGUGGUAGAGCUAUUCCCUGUAAGAUGGAGUUGUUUAUUUUUCGGCAGAGGAAAAAAGAAACCACAGUGGCUGAGCAUAAGCCGGAAGAGCCACUGAGAAACAUGUACGACAAAAGCAAAUAUGAAAAAAGAGAGACUCGCAAAGAUGAAAUCCCAACCGAAGAUUCAAAAAGAAGACGAUAUGGCUCGGACAGUGACCUGAUGUUGCUUUUAGAGGCAGGCAAUAUUACAAAUGGCCCACAACUACGAUAUUUCAGUAGCAAAGCAUUGAAAUAAGAAUAGGCUACACGGCUAUAGGGAUAAGCUACUACCUUAAUAUUGGUCAUGUGAGAGCAAAUAGAAGAUGCCAAUGGGGGGAUACUCCUUCAAGAUAUGGACAUCAAGAAACAAUU